rnacentral:rRNA from 1 species
UACGGGGGGGGCAAGCGUUGUUCGGAAUUACUGGGCGUAAAGGGCGUGUAGGCGGCCCGGCAAGUCAGUUGUGAAAUCCCCAGGCUCAACUUGGGAAUUGCAACUGAAACUGCCAGGCUGGAGUUCAGGAGAGGAGAGCGGAACUCCCAGUGUAGCGGUGAAAUGCGUAGAUAUUGGGAGGAACACCGGUGGCGAAGGCGGCUCUCUGGACUGAAACUGACGCUGAGGCGCGAAAGCUAGGGGAGCAAACGGG